ACCGUGCUCGGACGGAUGCUCAUGCAUUUCUGCUUUUUCGUCCAGAUUGCCCUUUUGCGGGCGGAUGCCAUGGCGGGACCGACGGAGGUUCUUUCACUGCAACACAGAUUUGUUGCGCCUGCGCCGGAAUGUCCCCUCGAUGGAGCACCGUCAUGGAAAGCCGCGCCUCAAGUGCUGUUCCGACACGAUCUCGUCAGUAGUGUGACGUCAACGGACACUUCCCAGCUUGAGCAUAAAAGCCGCAGCCAUCUCCAACAGCCUUUCAGUGGGCUUGGCAGCACCGUGCUCGGACGGAUGCUCAUGCAUUUCUGCUUUUUCGUCCAGAUUGCCCUUUUGCGGGCGGAUGCCAUGGCGGGACCGACGGAGGUUCUUUCACUGCAACACAGAUUUGUUGCGCCUGCGCCGGAAUGUCCCCUCGAUGGAGCACCGUCAUGGAAAGCCGCGCCUCAAGUGCUGUUCCGACACGAUCUCGUCAGUAGUGUGACGUCAACGGACACUUCCCAGCUCGAGCAUAAAAGCCGCAGCCAUCUCCAACAGCCUUUCAGUGGGCUUGGCAGCACCGUGCUCGGACGGAUGCUCAUGCAUUUCUGCCUUUUCGUCCAGGUUAUCGAAGGCUGGGGUCGAAUAUGGUACAAGGCGAGACCAGUCGCUUCGAUGGAUGCCGAUGCGUCUUGCGACAGUGCAAUGACACGCGUUUCAUGGACAAGCGUCAAAAUUACGGAGGUGGGAAAAAGAACAAGUGGAACCGGCGCGACCGUGGCGUAAGACUCACAGCCGCGAAGGCCCGCACGGUAUUAAUUGGUACAUGUUUCCUGGCAAGCCUUAGGAUCUAGAACGGCGCAAAAGAUGGAUUGCAGCUGUGAGGGG